AAUCAACGCUGGCGGCGUGCCUCAGACAUGCAAGUCGAACGCGAAAGUCCCCUUCGGGGGACAAGUAGAGUGGCGCACGGGUGAGUAACACGUAGGUAAUCUACCUUCGGGUGGGGAAUAACCCCGGGAAACCGGGGCUAAUACCGCAUAAUGCAGCGGCACCUAAUGGUGACAGUUGUUAAAGCGGGGGAUCGCAAGAUCUCGCGCCUGAAGAGGAGCCUGCGGCGGAUUAGCUAGUUGGCAGGGUAACGGCCUACCAAGGCGACGAUCCGUAGCCGGCCUGAGAGGGCGGUCGGCCACACUGACACUGACAUACGGGUCAGACUCCUACGGGAGGCAGCAGUCGGGAAUUUUGGGCGAUGGGCGAAAGCCUGACCCAGCAACGCCGCGUGAAGGAUGAAAUCCCUCGGGAUGUAAACUUCGCAAGAACGGGAAGAAUAAGUUUGUGCUAACACCACAAGCGAUGACGGUACUGUUUGUAAGCUCCGGCUAACUCCGUGCCAGCAGCCGCGGUAAUAC
rnacentral:rRNA from 1 species